rnacentral:hammerhead_ribozyme from 1 species
GUACUGCUGAGGAGUCCCAUAAUAGAACGAAGCGGACUUCCAGUAU